UGUUUUAUCUACCAGCAAAAUCACAACGUCAACAACUGUGACGUGUGGUCUAAGGUACAACCCACUGCUGCUUUGUUUGGCAGAGGAGCUCGAGGGCUUGGUUUCUACCAUGUUGAUGUUCCUGUAGCCAAUGACUCAAAAUGGCUAAACUUCCAAAAUUGUGUUGAGGUGAACAUUCUGAAAGGAGAGGUGGACUGCUCUAAGCUAAUGGAACUCUUGACUGCAACCUUUUGCAAGACUAGGCAAUGGCCAUGGCAGAUUAGAGGGCUGUCCAACAAGACCUUUUUGGUCAGAUUCCCCCCUUGGAAGAAAGUGGAGGAUCUCAUUGAGCUGCCUGGGUUUUCUCUUCCUCAGGAUGUGAAUGUCACUUUGACUGAAUGGAAGGGUGGUUGUGAACCUUUUGGGGAAUUGCUUGAAGCUUGGGUUCUGAUUGAGGGCAUUCCUCCCAAGUGGUGUACAUGGAAAGUAUUUGCUCAAAUUGCUUCACUCUUUGGGGUGCUCACUGAUGUUGAUUGGAAUGGCAUGUUCAGGACUUUCUUUCAAACUGUAAGGAUUAAAAUUUCCUGUAGAGAUCCCACUAAGAUACCUUUUGAGAGGCUGAUUGAGAUGAAGAAGAAACUCUUCCUGCUAGGUUUUACUGUUGAGGGCUUCGAACAGGUGGGUGGAGUGUAUUCUGUCAUUGAUUUAGAUGAUGAUGAGGAUGGUGAUGAGGAAGAAGAAAGAGCUGAAGAGGAUCAAGCAGAAGAGGGCAGAGGGACUCAUGGAGAACAUACUUCUGAUGGCUCAGGAGAUGGUCGUCUGGCUAUUGAUGAGCUAGAUAAAGCCAACUUCUCAGCCAAACAUGGGGCUGCCAGCAAGCAUGUGGCUCAGGGUUUGGUACUCUCAAUAAUGGAGCUUUACCAUGAUUCUAACCAGAAGAACUUUGUUAUGGAAUGUGCAAUGGUUGAGGCUGAUCAUGAUGUCCCAUCUUCUGAUGGUAUUGAGGUUAGGGUUGAUCACAAAGACAAUCUCCUGGAGCAAUGCAAAAAUGAUGAUGGAUGCAAGGGAAAGGAUGAUACAGUGGUGGGUGAGAACCUGAUUCAAAAAAAAACUGCUCCUUUUGGGAAGAAUGGCAAUGUGAUUACAGCUGGGGAGAGAUCUGGUAGUAUGGAUUACUGUGAGGACCUGCUUAGGUCUGUGGACUUAUCUAACUCUGAAAAUGAGGAGCCUAAAGAAGAGGAAUGGGGGUUCUCCCCCCUGAGGCCAUUCAUAUCUUGCAGAGUGAAACCCUGA
rnacentral:rRNA from 1 species